rnacentral:rRNA from 1 species
GCAUAUAAGUAAGCGGAGGAAAAGGAACUAAAUAGGAUUCCCUCAGUAAUGGCGAAUGAACAGGGAAGAGCUCAGAAUGGAAAUCGGGGCCCAUGGCUUUGAAUUGUAGUCUUGCGAUGUGCUGCCAGCGGAGGCGCAGAUGUAAGCCUCUUGGAAAAGAGCAUCAAUGAGGGUGAGAGUCCCGUUUGUCAUCUGCAGUCCUCCGUGUACGGUGCGCGUUCUGAGAGUCGCGUUCCUCGGGAUUGGAGCGUAAAUUGGGUGGUAAAUUUCAUCUGAAGCUAAAUAUUGGUUCGAGACCGAUAGCAAACAAGUACCAUGAGGGAAAGGUGAAAAGGACUUUGAAAAGAGAGUUAAAAGUGCCUGAAAUUGCUGAAAGGGAAGCGAAUGGAACCAGCUCUGCUUGGCGAGAUUGUUGUUUGCUAAAGUUAUAGCUUGCUCGGUCAACGCAAGUGUCCUUGCUUGCUUUCAACUUGAUGCAUGCGGUGGUUCUUGCCUUGUGUGUCAGCGCUGACGUAUGCUUGAUGAAAACUGCAGGGACAAGGUAACUCGUCCUCGGGUGAGUGAAUGUCCUUGUCGGAAAUCACGUGUGCGUUGGAUAUGGUGUGCCUCUUUUGGUGUGCCACAACAUCGAUGACUAAAUGGUUCUAUCCGACCCGUCUUGAAACACGGACCAAGGAGUCUAGCAUAUGUGCAAGUACACGGGUGUCAAACCUGUUUGCGUAAUGAAGGUGACUGCUGGGAUUUCUGCACCAGCAACCGACCAAUCGAUUGAGAGAGGUUUGAGUAUGAGCAUAUCUGUUAGGACCCGAAAGAUGGUGAACUAUGCCUGAGAAGGGCAAACUCAGGGGAAACUCUGAUGGAGGCUCGUAGCGAUACUGACGUGCAAAUCGUUCGUCAUACUUGGGUAUAGGGGCGAAAGACUAAUCGAACCAUCUAGUAG